UCGAUCGCAAGCGGCCGUCUCCGCCGUGCCUGCGAAAGGGGAAAUGGGGCGUCCCGUCGUGUCGCGCCGGCGCCGCUCGCCCCAUUAUCCUUCUUGGCCUCACCCACCUACCAUCCCCAACUCUCCUCCUCGCCCUCUGGCCUGCGCGCCGGCAGCUGUCGCCAUUGAGAUGAUGAGCUCCUCCUCCGGCUCCGGCCCCCGCUAUCUCGACCCACACCUCGUCUACGAGCUCGUCAUCCGCCGCAUGCCGCGCCAACUCCUUGACUACUUGGAUUCGAUACCCGGAGCAUCCCAGGACCUGCACUGCUACCGGAUCAAACUUGUCGGGGAAACUCUCCUGUCGCCGCCAAGUUGCGGUUCUUGGUCAUAUCUCGCUUAAUCGACCCAAUUCUUGCAAUGCUUCUUCUUUCGUUUCAUCCCAGGGGAUAGUUGUUGGUCCGAUUCUUGCCGUUCUGCGCUACUUCUCGCUCGCGCUUCCUCACGGACUAAUUGCUUGCCUUCUUGCUUGCAUUGCCUUUUUUUUUUUUUGUUUUGUUUUGCCUUCCUCCAGAAAAAUACCCGAAGAGAACAGGUGGAUCAUGAUUUUGGGCAAACGGGCGUGGGGUCACGCGAUAUAUAGCAGACUUUGUGCACCUCCGAUGGUUGACAAUCCCACCAAUUUUACAUCAGAUGCAGGUUUAGCACUGAACUAGAUGACCCGUUGCGCUAUCGCGCAAUGACGGAGGCUAACCAUAGGGUUUCGCUUAUUUUAGUACCGAAGGUUGGAGCAGAGCUCUUCCAUCGAGUACAAUAGUAUCCGACGUGCGUGUUAUCGCAUU